rnacentral:misc_RNA from 1 species
GAUGAAGAACGUAGCGAAAUGCGAUAAGUAAUGUGAAUUGCAGAAUUCAGUGAAUCAUCGAAUCUUUGAACGCACAUUGCGCCCCCUGGUAUUCCGGGGGGCAUGCCUGUCCGAGCGUCAUUACAACCCUCAAGCUCAGCUUGGUGUUGGGCCCCGCCGCCCCGCCGGGCCCUAAAGUCAGUGGCGGUGCCGUCCGGCUCCGAGCGUAGUAAUUCUUCUCGCUCUGGAGGUCCGGUCGUGUGCUCGCCAGCAACCCCCAAUUUUUUUCAGGUUGACCUCGGAUCAGGUAGGGAUACCCGCUGAACUUAAGCAUAUCAAUAAGCGGAGGA